ncrna:Nicotiana tabacum cultivar TN90 Ntab-TN90_scaffold1849, whole genome shotgun sequence
GGAUCUAAGAGCUCGGUUUAUGGUUGAGCGCUCGAUGCCACUGCAUUCGAGAGGUCGGUGGUUCGAAUCCACCUAGAUCCC